CAGUCGCCGCGGGAAUACGAAGGGUGCAAGCGUUAAUCGGAAUUACUGGGCGUAAAGCGUGCGUAGGCGGUGAGUUAAGUCUGCUGUGAAAUCCCCGGGCUCAACCUGGGAAUGGCAUUGGAUACUGGCUCGCUAGAGUGUGUCAGAGGGUGGUAGAAUUCCCGGUGUAGCGGUGAAAUGCGUAGAGAUCGGGAGGAACAUCAGUGGCGAAGGCGGCCAUCUGGGACAACACUGACGCUGAGGCACGAAAGCGUGGGGAGCAAACAGGAUUAGAUACCCGCGUAGUCCCUGUCUCUUAUAC
rnacentral:rRNA from 1 species